UUGGUGAACUGAUGACAGGGAAGCCGGCGACCGAAGCCCUGGUGAAUGGCGGCCGUAACUAUAACGGUCCUAAGGUAGCGAAAUUCCUUGUCACGUAAGUUCCGACCCGCACAAAAGGCGUAACAAUCUGGGCACUGUCACGGAGAGAGACUCGGUGAAAUAGACAUGUCCGUGAACAUGCGGACUACCUGCACCUGAUCAGAAAGACCCUAUGAAGCUUUAGUGUUCCCUGGGAUUGGCUUUGGCCUUUCAUGCACAGCUUACGUGGAAGGCCAAGAAGGCCCCUUCUGGGGGGAGCCAUCAGUAAGACACCACUGUGGAAGAGCUCGGAUUCUAACCUUGUGUCAGACCCGCGGGCCAAG
rnacentral:ncRNA from 1 species